rnacentral:rRNA from 1 species
GAUGAACGCUGACAGAAUGCUUAACACAUGCAAGUCUUUGGCGAAGCUGUGCUUGCACAGCCUAGCCAAGGCGGACGGGUGAGUAACGCGUAAGGGACUUGCCCUGCAGUCAGGGAUAACAGACGGAAACGACUGAUAAAACCUGGUAAAGUCAGGCGGACUCAUGUCCAGCCUGAUGAAAAGGAAUGCUGCAGGAGAGCCUUGCGUCCUAUUAGCUUGUUGGUGGGGUAACGGCCCACCAAGGCGAUGAUAGGUAGCCGGCCUGAGAGGGUGGACGGCCACAAGGGGACUGAGAUACGGCCCUUACUCCUACGGGAGGCAGCAGUGGGGAAUAUUGGACAAUGGGGGCAACCCUGAUCCAGCAAUUCUGUGUGCACGAUGAAGGUCUUCGGAUUGUAAAGUGCUUUCAGCAGGGAAGAAAAAAAUGACGGUACCUGCAGAAGAAGCGACGGCUAAAUACGUGCCAGCAGCCGCGGUAAUACGUAUGUCGCGAGCGUUAUCCGGAAUUAUUGGGCAUAAAGGGCAUCUAGGCGGCCGGAUAAGUCUGGGGUGAAAACUUGCGGCUCAACCGCAAGCCUGCCCUGGAAACUAUGCGGCUAGAGUGCUGGAGAGGUGGACGGAACUGCACGAGUAGAGGUGAAAUUCGUAGAUAUGUGCAGGAAUGCCGAUGAUGAAGAUAGUUCACUGGACGGCAACUGACGCUGAAGUGCGAAAGCUAGGGGGGCAAACAGG